UACGAAGGGGGCGAGCGUUGUUCGGAUUUACUGGGCGUAAAGGGCGCGCAGGCGGCAGACCAAGUCAGGCGUGAAAGCCCCGGGCUUAACCUGGGAACUGCGUCUGGGACUGGUUUGCUAGAGAUCGGGAGAGGAGAGUGGAAUUCCCAGUGUAGAGGUGGAAUGCGUAGAUAUCGGGAGGAACACCAGUGGCGAAGGCGGUUACCUGGAGCUUUGCUGACGCUGAUGCGCGAAAGCGUGGGGAGCGAACAGG
rnacentral:rRNA from 1 species